rnacentral:rRNA from 1 species
AGCGAACGCUGGCGGCAGGCUUAACACAUGCAAGUCGAACGGGCAUCUUCGGAUGUCAGUGGCAGACGGGUGAGUAACACGUGGGAACGUACCCUUCGGUUCGGAAUAACUCGGGGAAACUUGAGCUAAUACCGGAUACGCCCUUUUGGGGAAAGGUUUACUGCCGAAGGAUCGGCCCGCGUCUGAUUAGCUUGUUGGUGGGGUAACGGCCUACCAAGGCGACGAUCAGUAGCUGGUCUGAGAGGAUGAUCAGCCACACUGGGACUGAGACACGGCCCAGACUCCUACGGGAGGCAGCAGUGGGGAAUAUUGGACAAUGGGCGCAAGCCUGAUCCAGCCAUGCCGCGUGAGUGAUGAAGGCCUUAGGGUUGUAAAGCUCUUUUGUCCGGGACGAUAAUGACGGUACCGGAAGAAUAAGCCCCGGCUAACUUCGUG